UACGGGGGGAGCAAGCGUUGUUCGGAUUUACUGGGCGUAAAGGGCGCGUAGGCGGUCGUGACAAGUCACUUGUGAAAUCUCCGGGCUUAACUCGGAACGGUCAAGUGAUACUGUCGGACUAGAGUACAGAAGGGGCAACUGGAAUUCUCGGUGUAGCGGUGAAAUGCGUAGAUAUCGAGAGGAACACCAAUUGCGAAGGCAGCUCGCUGGAACGUAACUGACGCUGAGACGCGAAAGCGUGGGGAGCAAACAGG
rnacentral:rRNA from 1 species